AACAGGAUUAGAUACCCUGGUAGUCCACGCCGUAAACGAUGUCGACUUGGAGGUUGUGCCCUUGAGGCGUGGCUUCCGGAGCUAACGCGUUAAGUCGACCGCCAGGGGAGUACGGCCGCAAGGUUAAAACUCAAAUGAAUUGACGGGGGCCCGCACAAGCGGUGGAGCAUGUGGUUUAAUUCGAUGCAACGCGAAGAACCUUACCUACUCUUGACAUCCAGAGAACUUAGCAGAGAUGCUUUGGUGCCUUCGGGAACUCUGAGACAGGUGCUGCAUGGCUGUCGUCAGCUCGUGUUGUGAAAUGUUGGGUUAAGUCCCGCAACGAGCGCAACCCUUAUCCUUUGUUGCCAGCGGUCCGGCCGGGAACUCAAAGGAGACUGCCAGUGAUAAACUGGAGGAAGGUGGGGAUGACGUCAAGUCAUCAUGGCCCUUACGAGUAGGGCUACACACGUGCUACAAUGGCAUAUACAAAGAGAAGCGACCUCGCGAGAGCAAGCGGACCUCAUAAAGUAUGUCGUAGUCCGGAUUGGAGUCUGCAACUCGACUCCAUGAAGUCGGAAUCGCUAGUAAUCGUGGAUCAGAAUGCCACGGUGAAUACGUUCCCGGGCCUUGUACACACCGCCCGUCACACCAUGGGAGUGGGUUGCAAAAGAAGUAGGUAGCUUAACCUUCGGGAGGGCGCUUACCACUUUGUGAUUCAUGACUGGGGUGAAGUCGUAACAAGGUAACC
rnacentral:rRNA from 1 species